rnacentral:rRNA from 1 species
AAUGAACGUUGGCGGCGUGGAUUAGGCAUGCAAGUCGAGCGGUAGAGGUCCUCUCACCACGUGCUUUCCCUCGGGAGAGCAUGGAGAGCAUGAGGUGAGAGGGCCUUGAGAGCGGCGAAAGGGAGAGUAACGCGUAGUUACGUGCCCCAGGGUUCGGAAUAGCCACGGGAAACUGUGGGUAAUGCCGAAUAACAUCUUCGGAUCAAAGGUGUGAUUCCGCCCUGGGAGCGGACUGCGUUGUACUAGCUAGUUGGUAGGGUAAUGGCCUACCAAGGCGAUGAUGCAUAGCGGGCGUGAGAGCGUGGCCCGUCUCACUGGGACUGAGACACUGCCCAGACACCUACGGGUGGCUGCAGUCGAGAAUCUUCGGCAAUGCGCGAAAGCGUGACCGAGCGACGCCGUGUGUGGGAUGAAGGCCUUCGGGUUGUAAACCACUGUCGUAGGGGAGGAAGGCUCCGUGAAGAACGGGGUUUGACCUAUCCUAGGAGGAAGGACGGGCUAAGUUCGUGCCAGCAGCCGCAGUAAUAC